rnacentral:misc_RNA from 1 species
UGAGGAAGUAGAAGAAGAAGCUGAGGGAGAAGAAGAAGCAGCUGAGGAAGAAGAAGAAGCUGCUGAGGAAGAGGAAGAUGCAGCAGAGGAUACAGAAUCAGAUGAUGAUGAUUCUGAAGCUACCCCAUGAUCAUCAGACCUUUAUGUUUUUAUUUUUACUAGCUAUAGGGGCAUGUCCCUUUGAACAAUUACUAGUUAUUGGUCUGUAAUAUGUGCAUGCAUUCUACCUUUGUCAAAUUCUGUCUAAAAAGGGGGAGUAAUAGUAUUAUGCUUGCUAUUAUGCAUGAUUUUGAGUAGUAGGAUACUAUGUAUGAUGUAUGGCAGUAGGAUACGAUGUAUGCAUGCAUGAUUGAUACGAUGUAUGGCAGUAGGAUACGAUGUAUGCAUGAUUCAUGAUUUU